rnacentral:rRNA from 1 species
CACCUACGGGAGGCAGCAGUAAGGAAUAUUGGACAAUGCCCGCAAGGGUGAUCCAGCCAUGCCGCGUGCAGGAAGACGGCCCUAUGGGUUGUAAACUGCUUUUACACCGGAGAAAACCCCACUACGUGUAGUGGGCUGAUAGUAUGGUGAGAAUAAGCAUCGGCUAACUUCGUGCCAGCAGCCGCGGUAAGACGAAGGAUGCAAGCGUUAUCCGGAUUCAUUGGGUUUAAAGGGAGCGUAGGUGGACUGAUAAGUCAGUGGUGAAAUCUCCGAGCUUAACUCGGAAAUUGCCAUUGAUACUGUUGGUCUUGAGUAUAGUUGCCGUUGGCGGAAUAUGACAUGUAGUGGUGAAAUACAUAGAGAUGUCAUAGAACACCGAUUGCGAAGGCAGCUGACGAAACUAUAACUGACACUGAGGCUCGAAAGUGUGGGGAUCAAACAGGAUUAGAUACCCUGGUAGUCCACACUGUAAACGAUGAUUACUCGCUGCUAGAGGGCAACUUUUAGUGGCUUAGCGAAAGCGAUAAGUA